GGAGGAAAAGAAACCAACAGGGAUUGCCCUAGUAACGGCGAGUGAAGCGGCAAUAGCUCAAAUUUGAAAGCUGGCCUUCUGGUCCGCAUUGUAAUUUGUAGAGGAUGCUUUUAGGCAGCCGCCGGUCUAAGUUCCUUGGAACAGGACGUCAUAGAGGGUGAGAAUCCCGUAUGUGACCGGCUCUGGCACCUUAUGUAAAGCUCCUUCGACGAGUCGAGUUGUUUGGGAAUGCAGCUCUAAAUGGGAGGUAAAUUUCUUCUAAAGCUAAAUACUGGCGAGAGACCGAUAGCGCACAAGUAGAGUGAUCGAAAGAUGAAAAGCACUUUGGAAAGAGAGUUAAAAAGCACGUGAAAUUGUUGAAAGGGAAGCGCUUGCAAUCAGACUUGGACUUGGCUGUUCAACCGGUCUUCUGACCGGCCUAUUCAGUCUUGUCCAGGCCAGCAUCAGUUUCGGCGGCCGGAUAAAGGCCCUGGGAAUGUAGCUGUCUCUUCGGGGACAGUGUUAUAGCCCAGGGUGUAAUACGGCCAGCUGGGACUGAGGUCCGCGCUUCGGCUAGGAUGCUGGCGUAAUGGUUGUAAGCGGCCCGUCUUG
rnacentral:rRNA from 1 species